rnacentral:lncRNA from 1 species
UUCUUCUGGAAUCAGAAGUAUCCCCUACACAGGCUGCUCUCCCCUCUACCACUCUCCAUUCCUGAAGCAAGAGCCAACGGGUACCUGAGUUGAGCUGGCUGUAGACUUCAGUCGUUGCUAACCUCUGAAAUUUAGUAUGCAGUCCUGUUCAUCUCAUGACAUCUCAUGUUGAGUCUCUAUUGCCUCAGUUUUCCUGUGUCUGCUUUAGACCUGCGCAGG